rnacentral:rRNA from 1 species
AUUGAACGCUGGCGGCAUGCUUUACACAUGCAAGUCGAACGGUAACAGGGAGCUUGCUCCGCUGACGAGUGGCGCACGGGUGAGUAAUGCGUCGGAACGUGCCGAGUAGUGGGGGAUAACGCAACGAAAGGGGUGCUAAUACCGCAUACGUACUGAGGUAGAAAGUGGGGGCCAUUCGGGCCUCACGCUAUUCGACCGGCCGACGUCUGACUAGCUAGUUGGUGAGGUAAAGGCUCACCAAGGCGACGAUCAGUAGCGGGUCUGAGAGGAUGAUCCGCCACACUGGGACUGAGACACGGCCCAGACUCCUACGGGGGGCAGCAGUUGGGAAUAUUGGACAAUGGGCGCAAGCCUGAUCCAGCCAUGCCGCGUGUCUGAAGAAGGCCUUCGGGUUGUAAAGGUCUUUUGUCCGGGAGCAAAUGCCUGGUGUUAAUAGCACUGGGAGCUGAGAGUACCGGAAGAAUAAGCACCGGCUAACUACGUGCCAGCCGCCGCAGUAAAAC